GAUGAAGAACGUAGCGAAAUGCGAUACUUGGUGUGAAUUGCAGAAUCCCGUGAACCAUCGAGUCUUUGAACGCAAGUUGCGCCCGAAGCCAUUAGGCCGAGGGCACGCCUGCCUGGGCGUCACACGUCGUUGCCCCCCCCAUCUACUCCUUCGGGAUUGCGGGGGGCGGAUGAUGGCCUCCCGUGCGCCUCGCCGCGCGGUUGGCAUAAAUGCCAAGUCCUCGGCGACGCACGCCACGACAAUCGGUGGUUGCGAAACCUCGGUUGCCCGUCGUGUGCGGUCGUCGCGCAUCGAGGGCUCGAAAAAAUUGCCGAGUUCCGGCUCGGCUUUCAACGCGACCCCAGGUCAGGCGGGGUUACCCGCUGAAUUUAAGUAUAUCAAUAAGCGGAGGA
rnacentral:misc_RNA from 1 species